rnacentral:rRNA from 1 species
CGGCCGCGUCGACGCUCCGGCUAACUACGUGCCAGCAGCCGCGGUAAUACGUAGGGAGCGAGCGUUGUCCGGAUUUACUGGGUGUAAAGGGCGUGUAGGCGGAGCUGCAAGUCAGAAGUGAAAUCCCCGGGCGUCAACCCGGGAACGUGCUUUUGUAAACUAGUAGCCCUUCGAGUAUCGGAGAGGCAGGCGGAAUUCCUAGUGUAGCGGUGAAAUGCGUAGAUAUUAGGAGGAACACCAGUGGCGAAGGCGGCCUGCUGGACGACAACUGACGCUGAGGCGCGAAAGCGUGGGGAGCAAACAGGAUUAGAUACCCUGGUAGUCCACGCCGUAAACGAUGUGUACUAGGUGUUGGGAGCAAAGCUCUUCGGUGCCGUCGCAAACGCAGUAAGUACACCACCUGGGGAGUACGUUCGCAAGAAUGAAACUCAAAAGUCGUGGAGG